ACUUCGUUCACGUGAGCCUAUGUGGAUCUAUUUUUAUUAUAUCCUGUUAAAAUCAGUUAUAGUUUUCUUAGAAAAAUACUAAUCAGGAUCGUACUUAAUUUUAAGAGACUGCGCAUACGACCUACAGCUUAACGUACUUGCUAAGUUCUUCGCAACCUCUCGCUCUCCUUUCUGUUUUACCCAUUAGAAAAUACGUUCGAAGAUUUUCGGCAAAAGCAUCCUGCUGCAAAACGGACGACAGCGCAGCGCACCAGACCUUCAACCCAGCCCAUUCCAUCACCGUCGGCUACUACUGCGCAGCACACCAGGGCUUCAAAUCAGCCCAUUCCAUCAACGUUAUUUACUCCCGUCUCAGUCCCACCAAGUAGACAAAGGGAAGUGCAGUUCCUUGGUAGACAUUAGUCAUCGGAGGAUUGUAAAUGAAGACUAAGGAUCCUGAGACUCCAAAUAGAAGCCAGGUUUAAGACCGGAUAGGCUGUUGACUGUGAAUGACGCAUAUAAAACUGAUGCCUCACCGAUGGAAGAACAAAAAACAGAAAUUUAAUUCUUUAAUGAUACCAAUGAGAACAUGGUGGACAUUUCUACUUUGAAACUGUGUCAGUGUGGAUUGGUCUAACACAAAAUAUUUUGCAAGGUAUUCAAGUGGUAUUAUUGGAAAGAAAAAUGGAGUCGGGUCAAAAGGAGAAAAGUUGGUUAUCUACAAUAAAGUCGAUGUUAUCGGAUUCAGUUGACAUUGUUUUAUCAUCUACGUAAGAUAUAUUAAAAUUAUAUAAUUCUAGCUA